UACGUAGGGGGCAAGCGUUGUCCGGAAUCAUUGGGCGUAAAGCGCACGUAGGCGGAUUUGUAAGUCAGGGGUGAAAUCCCGGGGCUCAACCUCGGAACUGCCUUUGAUACUGCAAAUCUCGAGUCCGGAAGAGGUGAGUGGAAUUCCUAGUGUAGAGGUGAAAUUCGUAGAUAUUAGGAAGAACACCAGUGGCGAAGGCGGCUCACUGGUCCGGUACUGACGCUGAGGUGCGAAAGCGUGGGGAGCAAACAGG
rnacentral:rRNA from 1 species